rnacentral:rRNA from 1 species
GUUAGGAAUAUUGGACAAUGGGCGAAAGCCUGAUCCAGCCAUGCCGCGUGAACGAUGAAGGCCUUCGGGUUGUAAAGUUCUUUAGCCGAUGAUUAUAAUGACUGUAGUCGGAAAAUAAGCCCCGGCUAACUUCGUGCCAGCAGCCGCGGUAAUACGAAGGGGGCGAGCGUUAUUCGGAAUCACUGGGCGUAAAGCGUGCGUAGGCGGUUUUGUAAGUUAGGAGUGAAAGCCCAGGGCUCAACCUUGGAAUUGCUCUUAAAACUGCAAGGCUCGAAUCUCGGAGAGGAUAGCGGAAUUUCCAGUGUAGCAGUGAAAUGCGUAGAUAUUGGAAGGAACACCAGUGGCGUAAGCGGCUAUCUGGACGAGUAUUGACGCUGAGCCACGAAAGCGUGGGGAUCAAACAGGAUUAGAUACCCGGGUAGUCC